UGGUGGACGGGUGAGUAACGCGUGGAAAACCUGCCGUAUACUGGGGGAUAACACUUAGAAAUAGGUGCUAAUACCGCAUAAGCGCACAGCUUCGCAUGAAGCGGUGUGAAAAACUCUGGUGGUAUACGAUGGUUCCGCGUCUGAUUAGCUAGUUGGUGGGGUAAUGGCCUACCAAGGCAACGAUCAGUAGCCGGCCUGAGAGGGUGAACGGCCACAUUGGGACUGAGACACGGCCCAAACUCCUACGGGAGGCAGCAG
rnacentral:rRNA from 1 species